AAAUAACAUAAAAAUACGAGCAUUAAAAUAAAAAGGAAAUAAAUAAAAUUAUCGAAAAUAUCCAAAACACGAGAUUGGCCGAACGGGUUACACAAAUUAAAACUUUUUUUUUCUUUUUUUUCCUUCUUUUUUCUUCUCUUUUUCUUCUUUUUUCUCUCUUUUUCUUUUUUUUUUCUGGACUGGGCUGGGCAGGUUGUUGGGCCUGCAGCUGGAACGGGCCCGUUGUGGCCCUUUUUUUCUGCUUUGGGCCUGCUCUUUUUUUUAUUUGGGCUGUUUUGAUUUUUUUUUUGUAUUGCUUUUUCUUUUUUUUUCUUUUGAUUAAUUUCUUUUUUUUUGGGCUUUUGGGUUUGGGUUGCGGAUUGCGGGUCGGGUCGGGUCACCGGAUCAGGUCGUGGGUUGGGUCGGGUCGGCCGGUUCGGGUCGGGUCGGGUCGGGUCAGCCCGAUUUUUAAAAAAAAUUAUUUUCUUUUUCUUUUUUUUCUUCUUUCUUCUUUCUUCUUCCUCUUUUCUUCUUUCUUUCUUCUUUCUUCUUUCUUCUUUCUUCUUCUUCUUCUUCUUCCUUGAACCUUAGUUGUGUCGCCGCCACUCAGCCGCCGUUCGUGCCGCUCGUCUCCGUCGAUGAUGCGUCGGCCGAUCUCCCUUCUCCUUUCUUCCCUUUUUUUUUCAAAAGCCUUCCUCUUCUCUCUUUUUUGGUUUUUUUUUUUUUGAAAUUUUUCUUCCUUGGGUGUUCCAAUUUUUGGGGUUAAAAACCCCUAUUAUAGAUGAUUUUUUUCUUCUUUUUGCAGGGAGCAGGUGGCUAGGGAGAGGGAGGCCAUGCCCUAGGCCGGUGGCCGGAAAUCACGGGGUAGGUGUGCAAGUUGCUGCCAGAAGGACUAAACUGCAAACACAGGAAAAGUUUUAGGGCCAAAACAUAAUUUUGAGAAAGUUUAGGGGUUAAAAUGUAAUUUUGAGAAAUUUUA
rnacentral:lncRNA from 1 species